UACAGAGGUCCCAAGCGUUACUGAGAAUCACUGGGUUUAAAGGGUGCGUAGGUGGUCCGUUAAGUUCGUUGUGAAAUCCCUGGGCUCAACCCAGGAACUGCUUCGAAUACUGGCGGACUUGAGGCCGGUAGGGGUCACUGGAACUGACGGUGGAGCGGUGAAAUGCGUAGAUAUCGUCAGGAACGCCAGUGGUGAAGACGGGUGACUUGGCCGGUUCUGACACUGAGGCACGAAAGCGUGGGGAGCGAACGGG
rnacentral:rRNA from 1 species